UUUAAAGGCGAGAGCGAAUUUAACGGAACGAGGAUGCCAGAUACUACGUAAAGAUGGUUUACUCGAUGAAGAUGUGUUCAAAAAGUCGCAAAUCACACGCGAUUCUAUGGAAGAGAGUAUACAACGAUUGGAAGCGACCGUCGAUAUUCUACAGACCAGACUCGCCCGACUUAUUGGAGAGUUUGGUGCUAGCCAGGCGAAAUUAAAGCAGCGCUGACAAAAAUUGAGUUAAGGCCUAUGGAAGGUGACCAGGAGCAGUCCUCCCCUAAUUCCUGCAGGCGGCGUCUACGUUCGUACGAAGUCAGAAAACAAUCGACGCCUCCUGCAAUCACACGCAACAAGUCAAUGUAAUUUAUAAGACCAACAAUAGCAUUAUUUAUUUAAAAGCAGGAGUAGAUUAUGGAAUGUACCUACCUAUAAGGAAUUCGUUCAUAGUGGUAGAUUGUACAAAAAGGUAAGAAGACUGCUGUGAUUCUUUACUUUAGUGAGUGCCCUGGGGGGAAACAACCAAUGUUUUUUGGGGUCUCAGGAAUUAACAAAAUGAAACACCUAUACUUAAUUAAUACUGCUUACAUGAUUCUAGGUACUGAACACCAAAAACUUAGUGGCUAUUGAUUCUGUAGUAUGUGUUGUUUAUAUAAUUUUCUAUUUAGAAAAAGCGCUUUGAAAAACGUGAGAGUAACAUAUCACUUUGUACUUGUAUUCUUUUAGUAGGGCCUUUGUGAGUCAACAAAGAAAAGGCAAUUUAAGUGUUACUUCGUUCGCAAAAAAUGUCUACAGACCCAUUCUGCAAAUUUGUUUGGCGUUGAACACAUUAACGUAAAACGAAUUUUGCCUUACUUAUUUCAAUUGGGACACUAACUUAUCAAGAAGCUAAAGGGUUAUUGUAUGAUCGGAUGUUUUAGUCGUUGUUACAAACAUAUCUAUAUCGUAUAUUUUAUUAAUUGUUCAAUUAUCAUACUGAGAGUAUUUUGUAAUAUGAAACUUUAUGUUACAUACUUGUACAUGAAAAGUAGGUUAGUUUUACACCUGUAUGGAGCCUUAAUGUACUUGUGAUAAUCAUCUAAUUUUUUAUGUAAUGUAAAUCUUUGCGUCUAAGUAGAAUAAAUUAAUUCGUUGAAGUAUCUAUAAAACUAAUCUUCUCUUGUUCAAGUAGCGGACGAGUUAUAGUAAGCUAGAUCUUCAUGUACCAAGUUAUAAUAAACUUUAUAUAAAACAA